ACAAGUGACCCCGGUCUAACCACCGGGAUGUUCAUAACCCUUUGUUGUCCGACUCUGUUGCCUCCGGGGCGACCCUGCCUUCGGGCGGGGGCUCCGGGUGGACACUUCAAACUCUUGCGUAACUUUGCAGUCUGAGUAAACUUAAUUAAUAAAUUAAAACUUUUAACAACGGAUCUCUUGGUUCUGGCAUCGAUGAAGAACGCAGCGAAAUGCGAUAAGUAAUGUGAAUUGCAGAAUUCAGUGAAUCAUCGAAUCUUUGAACGCACAUUGCGCCCCCUGGUAUUCCGGGGGGCAUGCCUGUUCGAGCGUCAUUUCACCACUCAAGCCUCGCUUGGUAUUGGGCAACGCGGUCCGCCGCGUGCCUCAAAUCGACCGGCUGGGUCUUCUGUCCCCUAAGCGUUGUGGAAACUAUUCGCUAAAGGGUGUUCGGGAGGCUACGCCGUAAAACAACCCCAUUUCUAAGGUUGACCUCGGAUCAGGUAGGGAUA
rnacentral:rRNA from 1 species